CUAUGAUUCUAUUAUACUACAUGAAGAACAGUGAGCUAUGGAGAUAGACUGUUUACAGUGAACCACAAUCCAAACUGUACCUCAAAGCUUCCAUAGCAGACAAAGGAGAGUAUCCUUUUGUUUGGUUUGUUUCCAGGUUGUGUGGGCUGUUCAUUGAGAGAGCACCGAAGUGGAUCAGACCCUGCAGGGCAGAGCUGAGGCUGUUUCUGGAAAGUCUGUGGAGACCAUAAGCUUGAGGGUAGCAGCAAAGGACUGGAGUCUGCAGUUCACAGGGAGAAAGUACUGGAAGAAGAGGGACAGAGAAAACCUACACCUGAAAGAACUGAAGCAAUAAACUUGUCAGUCCAUCGUGAAUAUUGAAAUCAGAAACAAACAGAAAUGAGACUCUCUGAUAAAGCACCCUGUUCCCCCCUCCCUGCACUCAACACAUUGAUACUGCUACACAGAAGCCUGGCAUUUCAGUCACAAUAGAUGAACUGUUGUUAUGAAGGAUGAUCUGAUUGGAAUAAAUGCGAAUGAAGACUUGCUCAGCCAUAUAUUAAAUGUGCUCUGUGGUCAUGUGUGAGACAAACACAAAUUCCAUUAAUCAAAUUUUUAGUAGAUUUUUCCCUUGCCUGCUAGUCUUUUCGUUCUUUUUAAUAGCCAAAAGGAUUUCAGAGAAGAUGAAAAAGGGCAAAACUACUCCCAUUUGGUGAUGCACUGUAACACCACUAAGUCAUCAGGGAAAUGGACCAGGUAUCUGAGUACUUGAAGAAACAGCACAGAGUAUUUUGACAGCAACAUGAAAUACUACAUGUUUCUUGGUGAAUUAACCAGAAUAAGGGAAAUGACAACUGAACUCUGCAUCUGCAGAAGACAAAAAUGGCUCUUUCCUUGCACUUAGACAACACAGCUUAGAUAAGCAUACAAACUGCCUGCUGUGCUGCUACUUCAUAACCUGCAUGGCUGGUACGUUGCUAUCCUAGAUGGGUUAACUCCAUGCUGAUAUAGAAAUGGUCAUGAACUAGCAAUUGCAUUUAUUUACUUUGAAAAUACGUGUCAGGUCCACUGACAUAAGUAAGCCAUGGGCACUAAUAAUGACUCCCUGCACAGAGUUAAAAUCCCAGAUGCAUUAGGUCAGGCAUGUCCAACCUGCAGCCUGCAGGCUGCACACAGCCUGGUCCAGCACAUUCUGCAGCUACCCUCUGCCCAGAGCCAUCACGGCAGCAACUCUAUCCCAGUGAGUGGCCUGACUUGACCCCCAGUGCACACCCAUCACUCACAACACCCAUACAUCUGUGUGAUAUUGGCACUGUCUGGGCUGAAGCCAGGGCACAGAGAGGGCGCAGUGAAGUGCUGACUCAAAUUAUAGCAAAUAAUUGUGUGCAGUUUGAUUCACUGACUAAACGCAGUCCUGUGAACAGCAAAAAAAUAUGCAGCUGUGUUUCUGUCUUGAUAAAGGAAUUUGAGAAUAGGUUUCAAGAUUGCAAAAAAAAUAAUAAUCAUUUUUUGGACUCCAUUUUCAGUCAACAUAAAUACAUUACCUGUGAAUUUUCAAAUUUAAUGUACUGAGCUGCAAUCAGAUAUUCAUCUCCCUCAUCUUUACUAGACUAUUAUAAGCCUUCUCUUACCAAGGAGAAAUAUCCCACGCUGCACAACCAUACCUUAUUCAUGUCACUGCUUUUGGCAGUACAUACAUUUGUGAACAACUGUUUUCAAGGAUGAGGCAUGGGAGUAAAAUUUCAUCAACAAUCUCUAAGAAACACCUGAGAGCUCACUGAGAAUGACAACCACUGCCACUGAACCAGCCUGGUGCAUUAGUUUCACAAAAACAAAGUCACAUAUCCCACUGAUUUUCUGAUUUUGUUGCGUUUUUAAUGUUUUAAUAAGAAAGGAUAAAAAUAAUACAAAAAAAAAAAAAGUUUUGUCACCUAGAUACAUUAACUAUGUUAAAUAUUUCACAAGAGCUCUUUUGAAAGUUACACCUCCUAUUUUAUGAUGUUGGCCCAUGACACUAGAGGCAGAUGUUGGUGAUAGGGCAGUAGAAGCUGAACCUUCCCAUCAAUAUUCCACUGCAGACAGAUGGCAGCAGAGAAACAUUCUAACAAAAUGGUGUUUGAUACGAAAGUAUGUAUGAGGUAAAGGUGUGUCACUGAAUUCCUCCAUGCAGAAAAAAUGGCACCCACUGAUAUUCACUGAUGCUUGCUGAAUGUUUAUGGAGGCCAAAGCGGAUGUGAGCACAGUGAGGUGAUGGGUGGUGUGCUUCAACACUUUUUUUCAUUUCUGGUGAAAAUGCAUAGCUAAUGGUGGCGACUAUGAUCAAAAGCAGUGUUCUGUAGCUGAGAAUUUGCUCUAUCAAACAAUGUUAUUGUGCUCUUUGUACCUGUUGUUGUUUCCAUGGAAAUAAAUAGGCGGAAUUUCUUUCAGAGUAAUCUACAUAUAUGGAGCCCAGAACAAUUUCUCUUCACUCACUGCAGCUCAGGCAAUGCAAAAGGUUGGAUGCCCAUGCAUUACACAAUGUUGGUCAAGUUCUUUGGAUGAGGAAAGAUGGAGAAAGAUGUAAAUAGCAUCACUAUUGUGUUUCUCCUUCAGUAGAGUUGCAUGCCAGUAUACAUUGCUUCUCCAACAUUCUCAGCUAAUUGUGAAAUAUAUGUAUUCCUCAAUAGAUGAAUGACCUACAGAUACUAUGGUUGGCAUUAAACUCUAUGUAUUGUAAAGUUAGCUGUAGUACAGCUGCUAGUAGUUCUGUGAUACUCACACAGGAAAAAGUCUCAUGUUUUUACAUGUCAAUAAACCAACUAACUUUAAGUGAAUUCAGUUGAAAAACAAAUCAAGAAAAGAUUACAUAGAGUCUCUUGUGACAUCAAAUUUCCAAUCGUAAAACUUCACUUAGGUGAAGUUUGAACCUGAGUGCAAGAUUAGUAGGUGAAGCUUAUAGCAGGUAAUUAAUUGCUCCAGUGGAGGAUACUAGGUGGAAGCAAUCAGUUUUAAGUAAAGCCAGUGUUCUCUAGCAUGGUAGACAACAGUGAUAUAUUAAGAAUGCAGCAAUACUGCAAAGUCCAUGAGCAAAAGAUAUCUUAGUUUUAAGACAUAAAGUAUUAGAUUAUCAAGUCAACACUUCCCAGUAAGUAGUAGCUUUUGGAGACUUUCAGAUGUUCUCUGAAGACUCAUUCUGAGUUAACAUCCUCUGUAAUCACCUCUGUUUUCUACCCAUCUGUGACAUUUCAUUUGUUGCAAAAAGGAUGAAAGUAAGAACAUCCUAAAAAUCAUGCAGUGAUUCUUACUCUAACCUCUGCUAAUGAAGUGCGAGCUGAUUAACUGUUUACAAGCAUUGAAUUAACUCCUCUGCUUGGAGACUUAUAUUGACUCAAAAUAUCCACAGAUCAAAUGUACAUGUUCUCUUUGAUUUUUUUAUUGCACCCAACAGUACAGAGUCUGAUAGCACAGAAAGGCUUCAACAGAAGCUCUAGUGUUGUGAAAUAAACACAUGACUUGUGAGAUUACAGUAUUUACUGGUGAUCACAGCACUAUCCAAUUUCAACAUCCUGUAUGAGGAGACUGCAGCCGUGUAGGCAUGUUUUUCUUGGUUACACUGCAGCAUCCUUUUCUUAAGACAUACUUCCAAGAAGUUGUAUCACAUGAGCAAUGAGUAAAUUUUGUGUAAAGCACCUUAAACUGUUUCUCAAAUUAAACAGCACAAUGUAAAAUAUAAACAAUUAUUUAAUAGUUAAAACAUUGAGCUAUCAUGUACUCAAUUGAAAAAAAAAAAAAAAAUGUCCUCUGAUUUCCCAGGCAGGUCAUUCUUGAGUAGGAAAUAUUAUAUAGAUCAAAGAGCUUUAAAGACAGAGUAAGUUAUAAAAGAUCAUUAAUUUUCUCCUUACUCCUGGAUAAGGAGUGUAAGAUAGUAUCAGACUAUCACUAGAGAGGACUUACCCCAAAUUAAAUUAGUCAAAUCAAUCAAAUAGAACCACUAUGCUGCUGAAACACAAGGCUCAGAAGAAAAUGUCAUUUGAAGUUCCACUUGAAGUUGUUGCCCAGGCAGUUUGCAGUGGUAUGUAUAUAAUAUAACAUCACUUGGUAACGUGAGACAAUUAUUUUUGUAUUUAGGGAAGGUAAUUAGGAAAAAAUGUUUAAAUCACGGGAAUACUUUUUUCCUCUUCUAAAAAGUUUGUCAUUGGUUGGUCCUUCUGGCUACCAGGGUGCACUGCCAGCACAGAUACAAAUAGUCACCAACCAGAAGACCCAGAUCUCUUUUUGCGGCGCUGCUCUCCAGGCCCUUGCUCCCGCAGUUUGUACAUACAGUCAGGGCUACCCCAUUCCAGGUGCAGAACCCAACACUUGCUCUUCUUCACACACAUGGGGACCAUCCUCAAAUUUAUCCAGAUCUUGGUGCAAGGCCUCUCUGCCCACAAGGGAGUUAGCACUCCUCCCAGCUAAGCAUCAUCCACAAAUUAACUUAAUAUAACUUCCAGAUCUUUAGUAGAAUCGAUAGUGAAAACAUGAAAGAGAAAUGGCCUCAAAAUGAAACACCACAGAAUCUCACUGGAGACAAGUAGGGCAACUCUCAGUCCAUGCCUCCCGUCACCCAACAAAGACGUGUUUCUGUUCUCCUGGGAUGUUCAUAGGGUCACAAUGCUAUGACCUUAUGAUUUGACGGGCCACCUCUCAGAAAACUGCUAUAACUACAGGGAUUCUGACAUCAGAACACCAAUUGUGGCAUGAGCCAGACAGACAGCCAAGGCAGGCAGGCAGGACCCACAACUACAGCAAGCCAGCCAAGGCAGGCAGGCAGGGACUGUGACUCCAGACAGUCAGCCAAGGUAUGCAGGCAGGGGCUUUGUCUCGAGCCAGCCUAGACAGGCAGGCAGGGGCCAUGACUCCAGCGAGCAAGCCAAGGCAGGGAGGCAGGCAGGCAGGAGCCGUGACUCCAGCCAGUCAGCCAAGACAGGCAGGCAGGGGUCGUGAAUCCAGCAAGCAAGCAAAGGCAAAAAGGCAGGCAGGGGCCAUGACUCCUGCCAGCCAACCAAGUCAGGCAGGCAGGGGCUGUGACUCCAGCCAGCCAGUGAGCCAAGGCAGGCAGGCAGGGGCCAGGACUCCAGCCAGUCACCCAGCCAAGACAGGCAGUAAGGCAGGGGCCAUGACUCCAGCCAGUCAGCCCAGGCAGGCAGGCAGGGGUCAAGACUCCAGCCAGUCAGCCAAGGCAGGCAGGCCGGAGCUGUGUCUCCAGCCAUCCAGCCUAGGCAGGCAGGCCUGGACCAUGACUCCAACCAGCCAGUCAGCCAAGGCAGGCAGGCAGGGUCCAUGACUCCAGCCAGCCAGUCAGCCAAGGCAGGCUGCGACGCCAGUCAGCCAGCCAAGGUAGUCAGGCAGG
ensembl:lncRNA